UAAUUUUAUGUAUAAACUAGU
rnacentral:miRNA from 1 species